CUUAUUGGGCACCAGUGUACGAUGUGCUGAGAUUGUCGAGCUCAAGAUUAUCAAUCAGGAAGUGUCUGGAAGUCGCUGCUCAAGGGUACCCCUUACAAGUCCCCAUGUCUUAGUCAACAGCCCGUCUGGGGGUAUUCUUGCAGUGUGGAUAACAGUGUCUGUGGAAUCUCUACCUGUUCCAACCUUCAGCUCUUUUCAGCGCGAUACACUCACUCUAAAGUACAGGGACUUUACAGUCAGACAGACCCGACUUAGCACCUUGACUGCCCAACUUACUGCAUGAACCGUGGGCACUUCUGAGUGUCUUGGUGAGAUACGAUUUUUAAAAAUGCAGUGGACGCUACUGAUGCGUUCCGUUCCAUCCAGUGAAAGGACAGGUUUGUAAAAACAUUAGGGUGUGUGUUCAUCCACCUCAUUCGCUAAGCCUAGCACCAUGUGACUUCGGAGCCCCCCGCCAUCAAAUGGCUAUGCACGGUCCAAGUUUUGUGUUGAUUCAACUCAUCAAGGCAGCCAUCACAGCACAACUCAAGACCCUCAGGAUAGAGGACUUCCGGAGCUGCUUCAGAAAGAGGCAAGCAUGAUGGUGUAGUAAUGGCAAUGUGUCUUUUCCUGGAGUACAUUUUUUAAACCAUUACUUUUAAAUCACAACCAGGGUAUAUUCACAUACACGCAAAAACUUAUCCAAGUAUUUACUGAUAUUGUGUGUACAAUAUUCAAAAUAACAUUGACAUCAAGGAAAUGCACAUUUCAAGAACUUAAGUAAUGAAUCUUUAUCUCGCCGUGUCUACCCCUCGCUUUCUUCUCUUGCCUCUUUGUCUUUUCCCCCAUGCCUCAAUGAACCAGGC
rnacentral:lncRNA from 1 species